AAAACCUGAUGAUCCUGGACUUUUAUCAUUUUUCAUUGCUUUUAAAACAUUUGAUGCCUCAUGUAGACAGAUUGGACCCUCUAGAUCAUCUGACUCCUCAUUUGUUAAUUUGUUAACAUUGUAUUUUUCAAAAACAGUAUCAAAAUUUUUAAUCUUAUCUGUAACAAUAUUUUUUUUUGAGUACAACUCUUGAUAAAAAAAUUUUAACCUCUUUGAGAAUAUCUUUUUGAUUAUUAAUCAUUUCUCCAUCAUCUUUUUGUACUUUAGGGAUAAUUUUAUUCGUAAAAUUUCU
rnacentral:lncRNA from 1 species